rnacentral:rRNA from 1 species
UACAGAGGUCUCAAGCGUUGUUCGGAUUCAUUGGGCGUAAAGGGUGCGUAGGUGGCGCUGUAAGUCGGGUGUGAAAUUUCGGAGCUUAACUCCGAAACUGCAUUCGAUACUGCGGUGCUUUGAGGACUGGAGGGGGAGAGUGGAAUUCCUGGUGUAGCGGUGAAAUGCGUAGAUAUCAGGAGGAAUACCGGUGGCGAAAAGCGACUCUCUGGACGGCAACUGACGCUGAGGCACGAAAAGCGUGGGGGAGCAAAACAGGG